rnacentral:rRNA from 1 species
AUUGAACGCUGGCGGCAUGCCUAACACAUGCAAGUCGAACGGGGCAGCAAUACCCUAGUGGCGAACGGGUGAGUAAUACAUCGGAACGUACCCUGACGUGGGGGAUAACACAUCGAAAGGUGUGCUAAUACCGCAUACGUCCUGAGGGAGAAAGCGGGGGAUCGCAAGACCUCGCGCGUUUGGAGCGGCCGAUGGCGGAUUAGCUAGUUGGUGGGGUAAAGGCCUACCAAGGCGACGAUCCGUAGCUGGUCUGAGAGGACGACCAGCCACACUGGGACUGAGACACGGCGCAGCCUCCUACGGGAGGCAGCAGUGGGGAAUUUUGGACAAUGGGCGCAAGCCUUACUCAGCCAUGCCGCGUGCGGGAAGAAGGCCUUCGGGUUGUAAACCGCUUUUGUCAGGGAAGAAACGCUCUGGGUUAAUACCCCGGGGUAAUGACGGUACCUGAAGAAUAAGCACCGGCUAACUACGUGCCAGCCGCCGCCGUAAUAC